GCUUGAGAACAUUCCAUGGUGGAAAGUGCAGAAAAGCCCUCAGAAGGUAAACAGUGUUAGGUCUAGUUAGUACUUGGAUGGGAAACCACCAGGAAAUCCCUGGUCCGCAGGCU
rnacentral:rRNA from 1 species